rnacentral:rRNA from 1 species
AUUGAACGCUGGCGGCAGGCCUAACACAUGCAAGUCGAGCGGAUGAAGGGAGCUUGCUCCUGGAUUCAGCGGCGGACGGGUGAGUAAUGCCUAGGAAUCUGCCUGGUAGUGGGGGAUAACGUCCGGAAACGGGCGCUAAUACCGCAUACGUCCUGAGGGAGAAAGUGGGGGAUCUUCGGACCUCACGCUAUCAGAUGAGCCUAGGUCGGGUUAGCUAGUUGGUGGGGUAAAGGCCUACCAAGGCGACGAUCCGUAACUGGUCUGAGAGGAUGAUCAGUCACACUGGAACUGAGACACGGUCCAGACUCCUACGGGAGGCAGCAGUGGGGAAUAUUGGACAAUGGGCGAAAGCCUGAUCCAGCCAUGCCGCGUGUGUGAAGAAGGUCCUCGGAUUGUAAAGCACUUUAAGUUGGGAGGAAGGGCAGUAAGUUAAUACCUUGCUGUUUUGACGUUACCAACAGAAUAAGCACCGGCUAACUUCGUG